rnacentral:rRNA from 1 species
AGCUCCAAUAGCGUAUAUUAAAGUUGUUGCAGUUAAAAAGCUCGUAGUUGGAGUUCGGAGUGAGCUCAGUCGGUCGGCCUAAUGGGUCAGAACUGGCUGACUCUCUCUUGUUUGCGGUCCCCGCCCGGAGUUAACUCUUCGGAUGUGGCGUCCGCAUCGUUUACCUUGAAAAAAUUAGAGUGUUCAAAGCAGGCGUUUGCUUGAAUAUAUUAGCAUGGAAUAAUGGAAUAGGAC